AAUCCUUCUCCACCGGAGACUGUCCUAUAACAUUAUCCCGUCACAAUCCGGCUGUAGCAGUACCUGGUGCAGGCAGCUCCAGCUUUGCCUUCCUGAGCUCAGUCAUGGACGCCUGUAGCUGCUCGACCACAAAGUCGUCCUCAAAGAAGAAAUCUUUGGACAAAGUCACCUGCAGAAACUCCACCAGCUCCUCCAUGGACAGCUUCAUCAGGUGUUGUUUCAGUUUGGGCAUCAUCUUCUUGAGGAUGCGGUCGUGGUGAUCCUGGAAACGUAUCAGCUUCGGGAAGCCGGGGAUAAAAAACCCUAAAGGCUGUGACGCGAGCAUCGGGAAGGUGGUAAGUUAUGAGUCUGCCACGACCCGGCGGAUCUGUGGGAAACCAAUCUUAGACAACAACGCAGUCAACCUGUUCACCUCCGUCAUCAUCACACUCGUCCUGCCAGGGCUGGCAUGGGGGAUGCGGCCUCGAUAGACUGACAACUGUCAAUGCAGCGGAGCCGGACGACUAAUAUGAGACGGACUGCUGAUUAUUUGAGUAAUAUGUUGGUUGUUGUUGAUCACAGAAGCAUCACACUAAAAGUUAAUACAACACACUCUCUGCCUGCAUACUUGAGAGGCUCUGAUCAUGAUAUAUCUCUUUGGAAGAAAAAAGUACAGGAAAUAAAUACUAACCAGUAAAAACUUUACAGUAACUGAUGGACAGAGGAUAUUUAUGCAGGUUUUAGGAGAACGUUUUAUGGCCCGCAUGCAUAUAUGGAAUAGUAAUGAAAUGGGUUGUGUUUUUGUUCUGUAUUUUAAAUUUGAAGCUGGUUUGUGCCCGCUUAAUGUGAUGUUCCAGUACUUAAGACUGAUUUCUGGUAUUGUUACGACCAUAAUUUAUGCAGUAUGUUUCCAAGUGAGCCUCAGUCUUCACAGUAUGAAUUUACAUGUCAGUAAUUCAAAAUGUAUUUCCUGCCAUUGGCUGUUCAUACUUUCAAAUAAAAGGUGUUUUUUGUUUGUGUGU